UGGGGAAUUUUGGACAAUGGGCGAAAGCCUGAUCCAGCAAUGCCGCGUGUGUGAAGAAGGCCUUCGGGUUGUAAAGCACUUUUGUCCGGAAAGAAAUCCUUGGCUCUAAUACAGUCGGGGGAUGACGGUACCGGAAGAAUAAGCACCGGCUAACUACGUGCCAGCAGCCGCGGUAAUACGUAGGGUGCAAGCGUUAAUCGGAAUUACUGGGCGUAAAGCGUGCGCAGGCGGUUUGCUAAGACCGAUGUGAAAUCCCCGGGCUCAACCUGGGAACUGCAUUGGUGACUGGCAGGCUAGAGUAUGGCAGAGGGGGGUAGAAUUCCACGUGUAGCAGUGAAAUGCGUAGAGAUGUGGAGGAAUACCGAUGGCGAAGGCAGCCCCCUGGGCCAAUACUGACGCUCAUGCACGAAAGCGUGGGGAGCAAACAGGAUUAGAUACCCUGGUAGUCCACGCCCUAAACGAUGUCAACUAGUUGUUGGGGAUUCAUUUCCUUAGUAACGUAGCUAACGCGUGAAGUUGACCGCCUGGGGAGUACGGGUCGCAAGAUUAAAACUCAAAGGAAUUGACGGGGUCAUAGCUGUUUCCU
rnacentral:rRNA from 1 species